rnacentral:tRNA from 1 species
GGAGGCAAUCCGGCUGGAUGAGGGCACUGAUUGGAAAUCAGUCUUACCCCAAAUUCGUGGGGUAUUGGGGGUUCGAGUCCCUCUGCCUCCG